UCCGGUUUGGCACCGGCAGUCCCCCGCGAGUCCUCAGCAGCUUACGCCCUGUUAGCAACACGGGGCGGGGGUUGCGCUCGUUGCGGGACUUAACCCAACAUCUCACGACACGAGCUGACGACAGCCAUGCAGCACCUGUCUCCGGUCCAGCCGAACUGAAGGGAUCGAUCUCUCGUUCCCGCGACCGGGAUGUCAAGGGCUGGUAAGGUUCUGCGCGUUGCAUCGAAUUAAACCACAUGCUCCACCGCUUGUGCAGGCCCCCGUCAAUUUCUUUGAGUUUUAACCUUGCGGCCGUACUCCCCAGGCGGAUGACUUAAUGCGUUAGCUGCGCCACCGAAAGCCCAUGGCCCCCGACAGCUAGUCAUCAUCGUUUACGGCGUGGACUAC
rnacentral:misc_RNA from 1 species